UCCGAAGGGGCGGCGGGUCCUGGCGGGACGGCCGUGGCCUCCCCCGGCGCCGGGGAGCGGUGUGGGUGCCGAGGGGCAGCCUGCGGGGCGGCUUCUGCCUGAGCGGGUCCCGCUCCUCCGGGCCGUGCUUCGUUGGUGACUGUCGUCAAGAAGAGGGUGACAUCUGGAACGGAGUGUCCACAGGCACUGUUCAAAGCUUAGGUGUUUUUACAGGUUGGGCGUGGCCCGGGGGACCAAGGGCGAUCAGCUGUCGUGAGCCCAUGGCCCUGACUGGUGUCUGCUGGAGUCCCAGUACAAAUCCUUGCAAGUUGUGUCAGAAAUUAUUCUUCCCAAGAUGAUUAUUCAAAGGUUCUUGAAGGUCUGAAUAGGUGACUGUAUCUGGGAUAAUUGUAGAAGCUAUACCUGCAGUUUUGUGGACAGAUGCAGGAAGAAUGAGAUGUCUUCUGAUUAUCAUUGUUGGCAUCAACAAGGAGCAGAACAUCUGCUAAAGAAUUUGGACUUCUGGGAUAUUCUUGACAUCAACCUGCAAAAUGGCCCCUGCUUGGAGAGAUGCUUUGCCUUUUGCCAGUGUCAGCUAUUCGUGUUAAACCAGCACAGCACCAAUGGGAGAUUAACUUGGAGGACACUGACACCAUUUGCAAUAGUGGAAGUCUUGCAACCACAGGAGCAUUGCACCUUCUGUUGCUCUCCACCCUGUGAUAACUCCUGAAAAAUUUAUGAAGUCUUUUCUGUUGAAACAAAUGUUCAUGAAUGGCAUUGUUGUAACUUCAUAAUUUUAAAUCAGAAGAUGGUAAACAGUAACAAAAUAAAGUUCC